AUGAGGCCAGGUAAUGUCCGUAUGAGACCACCAAUGAGAAUGCCUCAUCAAAGGUUUAUGGGGCCGAAUCAAAUGGGUCCUCCUCCAUUCCGGCCUCCUGGCCCUCAAUUCCGAGGUCCAGGACCUAUGCGGCAGGGUCCUCCACCCAUGCGACAAGGUCCCCCACCUAUGCGACAAGGGCCCCUACCCCCACGCCCAGGGCCACCCCCUCAGCAAAGGACCUCUGGUUUCAUGCCUCGCAAGAUCCUCAUCAAUCCACAUUUCAAUCAGAACCAGCAGAAUAAAGGUCAAUGGGGCAAUCAAAUCCGCAUCCUCCUCCGCAACAGUUUCAGCAAAUGCCACCGCAACAAGCACCUGAGCCACAAUGGCAGCAUCAACAACCACCUCAGCCACAGUAUAGUUCCCCACCAUUUCAAACUUUGCCUUUGUCUCAGCCCCCACCCCAGCAACGAUUCCGGCCUCCUGGACCAACACCAGAAUAUAAUCAAAGGCGAGACUUUCCCCCUCCAUCGCCAGUUGUAACCCCUGAGCCACAGUCUUACUAUCCCAAUCAGCCUCAGCCAUACCGAGCAGAGUAUGCACCGUACCAAGAAGUACCAAGUCAAGCGCAGGAUUCCUCCUAUGGUCCCCCGCAGACGCCCCCUACCAACAAAACUACCAACAAUACCCACAAUAUGCUGAGC
rnacentral:lncRNA from 1 species